rnacentral:rRNA from 1 species
AUUGAACGCUGGCGGCAGGCCUAACACAUGCAAGUCGAACGGUAACAGGAGGAAGCUUGCUUCUUUGCUGACGAGUGGCGGACGGGUGAGUAAUGUCUGGGAAACUGCCUGAUGGAGGGGGAUAACUACUGGAAACGGUAGCUAAUACCGCAUAACGUCGCAAGACCAAAGAGGGGGACCUUCGGGCCUCUUGCCAUCGGAUGUGCCCAGAUGGGAUUAGCUAGUAGGUGGGGUAACGGCUCACCUAGGCGACGAUCCCUAGCUGGUCUGAGAGGAUGACCAGCCACACUGGAACUGAGACACGGUCCAGACUCCUACGGGAGGCAGCAGAGGGGAAUAUUGCACAAUGGGCGCAAGCCUGAUGCAGCCAUGCCGCGUGUAUGAAGAAGGCCUUCGGGUUGUAAAGUACUUUCAGCGGGGAGGAAGGGAGUAAAGUUAAUACCUUUGCUCAUUGACGUUACCCGCAGAAGAAGCACCGGCUAACUCCGUG